UCUCACAAGAACGUCAGGCUUGGCCCUCACGUGUCGCCACACCAACGUGAACUGUUGGUGGCGUUCAUGGAGGGCCAUCCGUACCUUGUGCGGACAUCAUGCGCACUCACACAGGAGUGCACGGUGGAGCGGAGGCGGCAGCUUUGGAGUGAGCUCGCCGCCCUGCUGAACACAGAGGGCCCGGCCGCCAAGACAGCCGAACAGUGGCAAGUGUUUUGGCGGAAGGAAGUAUUUCUUUCCCGCCGAGAUGCCGCCGCAGCUUCCGCAAGUCAAAGGUGAGUGCGAGGAGCGGUUCUGUUGCUCGCGAUAUUUACAAUGCUGUCCGUAAUUGCAGCGGCACGGGUGGAGGCCGUCUGCCCGGCCUUCGUGGCCGUGUCAUCGCCUUAGUGGGCACCUCCACGGUGACCGGAGUGUGCGAGCCCUUCUACCAACCGCUCGACGAGCCCGCCAUGGAGGUGACCGUCCAAACGCAAUCUGUGGGCACCACCGCUGGAACAAGCGGCCUUUCACGUGAAGGUAAGCUUUUGCUCUUCCCUGUUGCCUUCCCGUUUGUGGAAUCUGUUUCGUAUAUAAGGAACGCAAACUAUUUCUACUCUAACCGUUGAGUGAAUGUACCCUCUAUAACCAAUAUAGGAGCACUGCAGCAGCCAGGAGU
rnacentral:lncRNA from 1 species